AUUGAACGCUGGCGGCAGGCCUAACACAUGCAAGUCGAACGAGUGGCGGACGGGUGAGUAAUGUCUGGGAAACUGCCCGAUGGAGGGGGAUAAAUACUGGAAACGGUAGCUAAUACCGAAUACCCUCGUAUGUGCCCAGCUGGGAUUAGCUAGUAGGUGGGGUAACGUCUCACCUAGGCGACGAUCCCUAGCUGGUCUGUGAGGAGGACCAGCCACACUGGAACUGAGACACGGGCCAGACUCCUACGGGAGGCAGCAGUGGGGAAUAUUGCACAAUGGGCGCAAGCCUGAUGCAGCCAUGCCGCGUGUAUGAAGAAGGCCUUCGGGUUGUAAAGUACUUUCAGCGAGGAGGCGUUACUCGCAGAAGAAGCACCGGCUAACUCCGUGCCAGCAGCCGCGGUAAUAC
rnacentral:rRNA from 1 species